rnacentral:rRNA from 1 species
GAGUUUGAUCAUGGCUCAGAUUGAACGCUGGCGGCAGGCUUAACACAUGCAAGUCGAGCGGGGGAGAUUGCUUCGGUAAUUGACCUAGCGGCGGACGGGUGAGUAAUACUUAGGAAUCUGCCUAUUAAUGGGGGGACAACAUCUCGAAAGGGAUGCUAAUACCGCAUACGCCCUACGGGGAAAGCAGGGGAUCACUUGUGACCUUGCGUUAAUAGAUGAGCCUAAGUCGGAUUAGCUAGUUGGUGGGGUAAAGGCCUACCAAGGCGACGAUCUGUAGCGGGUCUGAGAGGAUGAUCCGCCACACUGGGACUGAGACACGGUUUUCCCAGACUCCUACGGGAGGCAGCAGUGGGGAAUAUUGGACAAUGGGGGGAACCCUGAUCCAGCCAUGCCGCGUGUGUGAAGAAGGCCUUAUGGUUGUAAAGCACUUUAAGCGAGGAGGAGGCUCCUGUAGUUAAUACCUACAGAGAGUGGACGUUACUCGCAGAAUAAGCACCGGCUAACUCUGUGCCAGCAGCCCG